GAUUUCGCAGGUGUUAUUAUUUUUAAAAAUAUGUAAAAAUACUUGUGGGGAGUGAUACGCUUUUGUUUUUUAAGUUAACUAGAUUUAUUUUUUGAAAAGGGAAACCCUUUUGAGUUUUUACUUUUUGGGUUUUGUGUUUUAAUAAAUUCUUUAAUAGUAAGUGAUUGUGUAAUAACAUUUAAAAGUUGUUGUAAAAUUUUAUUAUUUUAAGAAAGUGAUUAAUAAAUUAAUAGAUUAGUAGAACUGUUUUGAAAUAAGACAAUUUAAUUUUUAUUAUAAGUUAAAAAUUAUUCUUAUUUACUGAUUUUUUCUCAGACUGGUUAAUAAAACCAUAGCUAUAAGAUUUGUAGUUAUUUCUGCUCUAUGCAAAAAAGUAAAUGGCUGUUAUUAACACUAAGGUAGCAAAAUCAUUAGUUAUUUAAUUGGUAACUUGUAUGAAUGAAUUUUCUGAGAAAAUAUUAAUUUUCUUUUUGAAAUUAUAAAUUUGUUGAAAAUAACAAUUUUUCCUAUAAGACUAAAAGACCCUAAAAUUUUUAUAACUUAAGUUAAAGUGUUAUUUGAUUGGGGCAAUAGAAAAAAAUUAAUAUUAAGUAAUUUACUUAUCUUAGAACUUUUUUUAUUGAUAAAAGGAAAAAUACUUUAGGGAUAACAGCUUAAUUAUUCUUAAGAGUUCUUAUUAUUAGAAUAGUUUUAGACCUCGAUGUUGGAUUGGAAAGACUUUUUGGGGCAG
rnacentral:rRNA from 1 species